UCAAAGCUCUCUCUGAAUGUACUGUGUGACAAUGCAUCAUGCAUGAACCUUCGGUCAGGGAUGUCGUUGGGGAAGUGACUUCAAAAGUAUUCAAAAUUUGACAUGCUGUUUGUUUAGUCACUACAGUGCCCUCAAAGGGCAGACAUUGCAGCCUUUUUAUAUUGCCUGCCAAAAUUUGAAGUAUUAGAACAAAGUGUGCCAUGAGAGAAAAACUUAACAAGGAGUUUUGAAAAGAAAUGCAAAGAACAAAACUACAACACUAUUUUUUAAAAAGUUGAGUAUCUGAGUUAAAAUUUCCAAAUCUUUAUUUUACACCACCUUAAAAAUUAUAUGAGAACAAGGUACAUGCAUUAUGUGUCACAUUACUGGGCAAACUGUUCAAAUAUUUUUUUUAAACCUCCCUGUAUAGAAAAUAUCAUUAAGGAUGUAAAAGCCAUGCUUGCCUAUUUGCUGUAUACAUGUAAUGAAAUUGUAGAUAAAGUGUAGUGCAUUGAAACAAAUGAACAAAAAAGUAGAUACUUUUACUAUACAAGGGUGCUGGUGCAGAAAAAAAUAUAUAUAUUUUUGGAAAUGUAGCAUUUUAUACUUUCAAGUGUUAUAAAAAAAAAGAAAAAGAACAAAGAAACCCUUUAUUUCAUUAAAUGAUUUUUUCUGGUGGUUGUCAAGAAACAAAAGACCAAAAGAGCCUUUUUGUCUUUCUUUUUUAUUUUUUAAGUAUUGGAAUAAGUCUAAUGAAAAAGAAAGUGCCUUAUUUUUCUUCAUGGUCAUUUAGUCAAGUGUCCUGUAAGAUCAGCUCCUCCCUCAGAAUAAAGUUACUGCAUGUUCCUCAGUCGCCCAGUAUGUGAAAGGAGAUAUGAGAGGAGACAAAUGAGUUGAUGGUCUAAAUUAUAAGAUUUGUGUCACAUUAUCUUGAUGCCAGUUUGCCAAAUCUGAUACUGUGAAAAAAUUUGAUAGCUUUUCUAAUGUCUGACUAGUAAAUUUUAAAAUGUCAUUCUUUUACAAAUCAUAAUUAGUACUUUUGGUUAUUACCGUCUUCAGUGUUAGCCCAAAGAUUCUGAGGUUUAGAAAAAAAUUAUGUAAGAUCUGAACAUCAGUUUGCAGACAAAAUUAAAUUAGAGCUUUAUUUUAUUUGGAGAAGAGGGAUACAAUGGAAUUUUUCCUUACCAAUUAGAAAUAAUUGUAAUGCCUAAAAAACUUUUUCACAAAAAUGAAUCUUUGAAAUUUUUUAUUGUUGAAAAAGUGUUAAGUAACAUAAAUCUAAUCAGAUAUCUUAUGUAGUCCAUCUCUGCUGGCUUUAGUAACUGCUCCUAAACUUUUUAACUCUAAAGGAGCGUGGAAAGCCCGCAUCACAGUGUUCAGUGACUGCUCUGCUCCAUUCUUUCUCCUCUCCAGUUUCUCUCUUGAAAGUCAAACAGUUUUGUAGUUGAAGCAGUCCGUGUGCAAAGCCUGCAUCUAAACACUUGCGUUAAUAAGUCAUUAACCGCUCAGUACCAGAUGUGGCAAAUCUCAAGUGAUUGUGGACUCCUGGCUCAUCAACUCAUGCCCUCUUCCAUACCCUCAUGGCUUCACAGUCAAGGUCAGCAGGAAGCUCAUUGGUCACCUUCAUGGUGACCUCUCCAUUAUUCUGUCUCACUUGGAACCAUUUUCAGUUUAUUUACUAUGCAAUAGACAGUCCUUGUUUUGUACUCAGCUAGCUUUGAUUUAAUGUACCACUGCUUUGUCUUUCUGUUACACAUAUGGUUUUGAUUUAUUUACAAUAUAUGCUGUGCCAUUUUGAUUUUUAUUUUGGUUGGUUGGUUGAAUAAAUAUGCGACACUCAGAACACUUGAGGUGAUAGUUUUAAAAAAAACAAACAAACAGUACCAGUAUUUGAUCCAGUCUCAUCUCAGCUGUGUUAUACCUGGACAAUUUAGAUGUUUAUCAAAGGUCUUUUAUGGGGAAGAAAGCAAAUGUGUAAAACAGUAGACGUGUGACGUUUAUGAGUAAUGCUGGCUCUGAACAAACUUUUGAAAACUUAGUUGACAGUGUUUUGAGUCAACUGAAAAAAAGCAUGACUUUUGGAAUCUCUGAAUGCCUUGGUUCUCAGUAUUAUCACUCUAUUGAAUUUUUUUUUCUUAUUAAAGUAUGUAGUUUAAAAGUAAGACUUUUUUCCUGACAGUAUUAUGUAAUUUUUAGCGUGGGUAGAUGGGAGUGUCGCUUGUAUGUUACCAUACAGCUGACAUGUAUUUUUUGUCUAUUCUUUAUUAUCUUAGUAGUUUCAUGCUGUGUAUGUACCAUAACCAACCUAUUGCCUAUGAGAAACAUGUAAGAUAAUGUAUUUACAGCCAUUGUUACAAGUUUAUAAUGUAUUUUUCUAUCUUGUUUUAUAUGUAUGUUAUAUAACAUUCAAAAGAAUUUUUUUCUUGAUUGAGAAAAGGAUACAAAAUGCAAAAUCCACAAUUUUGAUAAC
rnacentral:lncRNA from 1 species